AACACACACACACACAAACACACACACACACACACACACACAAACACACACACACACACACACACACACACACAGACAUACAGUCACAAGGGCAACCACAGGAAUAAUGCAACAGUCCUGCUUUUCCCUCAUUGUUUGCUCCGCACCCAGGAAAGACUGUGGCGUGUGCCAAGGGCAGUGGACCAGGGCUGCCUCACCGAUAAAGGAUCCCAUCCGACCGGAUCCAGAACGCAACAGGCCUCCGCUGAGCUAGAAGAGACAUUCCGGGGAGAUUAAAAAAAAAAGCGAUCGGACCAGCCCUGCGACAAACCCUGUGCUCACUGCAGGCGACAACCUUCCAGGUUCCAAAUAACACCAGAAAGUAGAGGCUGCUUCUACUUCUCAGUCUGCAACUUCAGCAAAAGCCAGGAUCUGCCAAAGUAGCAAAAAAAAAAAACAAAAAAAAAAACCCUAACCCUCCCAAGGUACUCCUAGAGAUUCUGGAAUAAGGGAUAUGAAGCUAUUGUCAUUCACGCUGGCAAAUCUGCGCUCUUAGAAUCUUACAGAAUGUUAUCAGAUCGUUAUUAAAUUGUUAUCCGGUGAAACAUUGAGUGAUAAUUACCCGAGAUUGUUCCCUGCUAUUAAAGUAAGGAGUACCAAUCCCUAGUCAGUGACGUUUGGAAUGAAGUCUUUUUGAGUUACUUUACUUAAGUUUGUUUUUACAAAUGUAUUAUUUAGAUGGAGUGGGGCUGCACAGGAGUCUGCUCUGCAUUCUGCAGCUUCAGAGUCGCCCGUGUAAUCAGUGAGUCUGUCUGAUUUCUGCCAGGUGUCCACACUACAAACCUCCAGAGCGCGAAUGUACAUCAAACAGGAGGCAUGCACCAAAAGGGCCGCCGCUCUGGUUUCAUCAGCUAUCAAAAUCCACCUCAGUGGCUCGUUGUUUUAUUUGAUUGCUGAUUUGCGUAAUAUGGUGUCGUCUGUAUGUUUUUCCCAGCAACUUCAAUGUGUCGGAAACAAGCUGGCACUGCCAAAGAAUUUAACUGAUUUUCCAUUGGGAGAUGCAGGUUCGGGUCCUGAAUAGAAACGCUGCUGUUUGACCACUGAGCAGAUCUGGCAAAUUGUUGCAAAUACGGUGAUGUGGUGGAUAGACUGUACUCUGGCUGAGUUGCUCUACAAGGGUCCACUGAAGAAUAAACAGGUAAUUUGAGCCCUGAGAGAUUGAUGUUUACCAAACUCCCUUUGGUCUGGAGUUUAUAUUUGUAUCUGCCGCUCAACACUGCACAAGACUGGCAUAGCAGAGAGGAGUCACUCACCCAUAAUGCCCCUGUUGGUACGACCUCAUUUCAGGAAUGACAUGAAAUCAGACUGUAGGCCGUACCAAGUGUGUCCACCGUCCCAGGGGUGAUACUGUCACCCCUGCUUUCCAAAUAAUUGACAUAAUUACAAUCCCAUGAUGUCAUGCCAAGCCUUUUAAAUAUUUGACGAAGCACCUCGUGCAGACCGGAGCUGGACUUUAAAAUGUCUGUAAAAUGUGCAUUAAGGGCCUUCAG